GGAGAGGUGCCAGAGCGGCUGAAUGGGCCGGUUUCGAAAACCGGUGUGCGUGCAAGCGUACCGGGGGUUCGAAUCCCCCCCUCUCCGCCA
rnacentral:tRNA from 1 species